UGUAGUCAUAUGCUUGUCUCAAAGAUUAAGCCAUGCACGUCUAAGUAUAAAUGUUAUACAGUGAAACUGCGAAUGGCUCAUUAAAACAGUUAUAGUUUAUUUGAUAAUCGAAUUUUACAUGGAUACCCGUGGUAAUUCUAGAGCUAAUACAUGCUGUCUGCCUGACUUCUGGAAGGGCUGUAUUUAUUAGAUAACAAAUCAAUAUUCCUCGUGUCUAUUCUGAUGAUUCAUAAUAACUGAUCGGAUCGCAUGGGCUUUGCCAGCGACAAAUCAUUCAAGUUUCUGCCCCAUCAGCUUUCGAUGGUAGUGUAUUGGACUACCAUGGCUUUAACGGGUAACGGGGA
rnacentral:rRNA from 1 species